AUGCAAAGCAAAAUGCGAUCUGCCUCAACACCCCUGCUCUGCCUUUGCCUCCUCGUCUUGCCAUCAUGUCCCCUUCUCUUGCAACGAGCGCACGCAGCAGCACGUCAUGGUGGCAUAUCACUCAUGUCCCAACAGAAGGCCCUCCUCCACUGGAAAUCAACGCUCGCAAACCCAGCAGCGGAGAUGAGCUCCUGGCGGGACACCAGCAGCAGCAGCAGCGGCCUGUGCAACUGGACGGGGAUCAUGUGCACGGCCGUUCGCCAUGGCCGCAGCAUGCCCUGGGCCGUGACCAGCAUCUCCCUGCCAGAUGCCGGCAUCCAUGGCAAGCUUGGUGAGCUCAACUUCACAGCUCUCCCAUUCCUCACAUAUAUCGAUCUAGGCAACAAUAGCCUCCGUGGUCCAAUACCGCCUAAUAUCAGCUCGCUAUCAUCCCUCUCAACCCUUGACCUUAGCUUCAAUCAGCUCAGAGGCCACAUACCGCACGAGAUCGGCGAACUGGCUAGCCUCACCAUACUUGACAUCUCCUUCAAUAACCUAACAGGACAUAUCCCUGCGUCCCUAGGCAACCUGACAGUGUUGAUUUACCUUGUUAUCCACCAAACCAUGGUCUCAGGUCCCAUUCCGAACGAGUUAGAGAGGCUUGUCAGCCUGCAGGGUUUACAGCUAAGCAACAGCGCCUUAAGUGGUAACAUACCCGCAACUCUUGCAAACCUGACCCAGCUAAAUGUUCUGUUACUGUACGGUAACAAACUGUCGGGGCCGAUACCCCAUGAGCUAGGCAAGCUAGCCAAGCUGCAAUUCCUUCAACUUGAUGAAAAUAAACUAACCGCUCAAAUCCCUUUCUCCAUAUCCAAUCUAACUAUGUUAAAUGAACUCUCUCUCGUCAAAAAUCAAAUCACAGGUUCCAUCCCCGCUGAAAUAGGAAGGCUAGUCAUGUUAAACAAACUUGAUCUCUACCAAAAUCAAAUAACAGGAACGAUACCUCCAGAAGUAGGCAACCUCACUCAGCUGAACAUACUUCGUGUCUAUAAAAAUCGACUAACGGGUUCUAUACCCCCAGAACUAGGCAUCCUGAUAAAUCUCUCGAAUUUGGACCUAUCAGCCAACCAAAUCGCUGGCUCUAUUCCUGCCAGCUUAGGAAACCUUACUAAUUUAUUAAUAUUGUCCCUUUUUAGAAAUCAGAUAACAGGCACCAUCCCACAGGAAAUUGGCAAUUUGGUGAACCUCCGAACAUUGUUCUUGGACGAGAAUAAAAUUUCUGGCUCAAUACCCAAAACAUUUGGAAACCUACAAAACAUCCAACGUCUGAACAUGAAUGAUAACAAAUUAACGGGAUCUCUUCCUCAGGGAUUUGGAGAUCUCAAGAACAUAGUCGGCCUUAAUCUGGCUGAUAACUCCCUUUCUGGACCUUUGCCUAUGAAUAUAUGUACCGGCGGCAGUCUCACAGCUUUUGUAAUGUCUCUGAAUAUGUUCAAUGGCUCAGUUCCAUGGAGCUUAAAGACCUGUACAAGUUUGACUGGACUUCACCUUGACGGAAACCAACUGACAGGAGAUAUAUCUCACCAUUUUGGAGUUUACCCACAACUUAGGCACAUAUGGUUGACAUCCAAUAGACUCUCUGGGAGCAUUGCACCAAAGUGGGGAGACUGCCCCCAACUAAAGGAAUUCAAGCUAGGACAAAACAUGAUUACUGGUCAAAUACCUCCCACCCUAUCAAAAUUAUCCAAUUUGGUAGACCUAACACUCGAUUCUAACCACAUAACUGGUUGGAUUCCACCAGAGUUUGGAGAUUUGAAAAAUCUUUAUAUCUUGAAUCUGUCACUCAAUCAGUUAUCAGGCCCUGUACCUUUGCAGUUGGGGAAGUUGAGAAAUUUAGGACACCUUGACCUAUCUGAAAACAGUUUGAGUGGAUCAAUACCAGAGGAAUUGGGAAGCUGCAUAGAACUAUUGUUCUUGAAGAUCAACACCAACAACUUCACUGGAAAAUUGCCUGGUGCAAUUGGAAAUUUAGCAAGCCUACAGAUGAUGUUAGAUGCCAGCAAUAACAAACUUGAAGGUGUCUUGCCAAAAGAACUUGGAAAGUUGGAGAUGCUGGAAUUUCUUAAUUUAUCCCAUAACCAGUUCAGUGGAAGCAUUCCGUCCUCCUUCGCAAGCAUGGUGAGCCUAUCGACGCUUGAUGUGUCCUACAACGACUUGGAAGGACCACUCCCAAUAGGACAUGCACUUCAAAAUGCUUCAAUAAAUUGGUUUCUUCACAAUAAAGCUCUGUGCGGUAACUUCUCUGGACUGCUACCUUGUUACUCAACUCCAGCAUCUGGUCGCCAUAAACAAAAGAUACAAAGUUUCCUCCUGCCAAUUGUUCUUGUUGUGGGGUUUUCCACCAUUGCUGCAAUUGUUAUCAUUGCAAUUCUUAUACGUAGCAAGAAAAAGAAACAACAAAGUGGUGCUACAGAUGAGGGGAGGAACAUGUUCUCUGUUUGGAAUUUUGAUGGACGACUAGCAUUUGAUGAUAUUAUCAGGGCAACAGAAAAUUUUGAUGACAAGUACAUCCUUGGAGCAGGAGGACAUGGAAAAGUCUACAAGGCACAACUCGAAGACGGGCAGCUAGUUGCUGUAAAGAAAUUCCAUCCAACAGAAGAAGAGUUGAUUGAUGAGAGAGGAUUUCACAGUGAAAUGGAAAUCUUAACACAGAUUCGACAAAGAAGCAUUGUCAAACUCUAUGGAUUUUGCUCCCAUCCAACGUACAAGUUUCUUGUCUAUGAUUACAUUCAGCGUGGAAGUCUCCACACGAUUUUACAAGAUGAGGAAUUAGCCAAGGGAUUGGAUUGGCAUAAGAGAACUGCCCUUAUAAAUGAUGUUGCCCAGGCAAUAUCAUAUUUGCAGAAUGACUGUAGUCCUCCUAUAAUUCAUCGAGAUAUCACAAGCAACAACAUCCUGCUUGAUACAAAUUAUAAGGCUUAUGUCUCAGAUUUUGGUACAGCAAGGAUUUUGAAGCCUGAUACAUCAAACUGGAGUGCACUAGCAGGGACAUAUGGCUACAUUGCUCCUGAGUUGUCCUACACUUCUGUUGUGACAGAGAAAUGUGAUGUGUACAGCUUUGGUGUGCUUGUGCUAGAGGUGUUGAUAGGGAAGCAUCCAAGAGAUCUACUCCAACAUCUUGCCUCAUCAACAGAGCCAUAUACUCUAGUCAAAGAAAUCUUGGACCAACGGCCUUUAGCACCAACAACAAUAGAAGAGAAAAACAUAGUUUUCCAAAUCAGGGUAGUAUUUUCUUGCUUGAAAGCUUCCCCUCAAGCAAGGCCAACAAUGCAGGAGAUCUACCAGAUGCUCAUCCAUUAUGAAUCUUCCACUUCAGUGUGA
rnacentral:rRNA from 1 species